rnacentral:rRNA from 1 species
AAUGGGUGGAUGCCCCGGCAGUCAGAGGCGAUGAAGGACGCCAAUCUGCGAUAAGCGGCCGGUGGGCAGUGAUAGCGAACCGUUAUAAAUCCCAUGAUUUCCGAAUGGGGAAACCCAGUGUUUCGACUACACUAUCAUUAACUGAAUCCAUAGAAACAGAGGCGAACCGGGGAACCGCUGGAAACAUCUAAGUACCCCGAGGAAAAGAAAUCAACCGAGAUUCCCCAGUAGCGGCGAGAGCGAACGGGGAGCAGCCCAGAGCCUGAAUCAGUGUGUGUUAGUGGAAGCGUCUGGAAAGGCGCGAUACAGGGUGACAGCCCCGUACACAAAAUGCACUUGGCUACCUGUGAGCUUCCUCGAUGAGCAGGGCGGGACACGUGAACAUCCUGUCUGAAUAUGUAGGGGGACCAUCCUCCGGGCGUCUAAAUACUCCUGACUGACCGAUAGUGAACCAGUACCGUGAGGGAAAGGCGAAAAGAACCCCGGCGAGGGGAGUGAAAAAGAACCUGAAACCGUGUACGUACAAGCAGUGGGAGCACGCUUAGGCGUGUGACUGCGUACCUUUGUAUGAUAUCGGGUCAGCGACUUAUAUUCUGCAGCAAGGUUAACGAAUAGGGGGAGCCGAAGGGAAACCGAGUCUUUAACCGGGCGUUGUUGCAGGCAUGUGACCCGAAACCCGGUGGAUUCAGCCAUGGGCAGGUUGAAGGUUGGGUAACACUAACUGGAGGACCGAACCGACUAAUGUUGAAAAAUUAGCGGAUGACUUGUGGCUGGGGGUGAAAGGCCAAUCAAACCGGGAGAUAGCUGGUUCUCCCCGAAAGCUAUUUGAAGCGCCUCGUGAAUUCAUCUCCGGGGGUAGAGCACUGUUUCGGCAAGGGGGUCAUCCCGACUUACCAACCCGAUGCAAACUGCGAAUACCGGAGAAUGUUAUCACGGGAGACACACGGCCUGUGAAGGCAGGUGUACUGUGAGGUAUGCUGGAGGUAUCAGAAGUGCGAAUGCCGGACAUAAGUAACGAUAAAGCGGGUGAAAAGCCCGCUCGCCGGAAGAAUCAAGGGUUCCUGUCCAACGUUAAUCGGGGUAGGGCGAGUCGACCCCGGCGAGGCCGAAAGGCGUAGUCGAUGGGAAACAGGUUAAUAUUCCUGUACUUGGUGUUACUGCGAAGGGGGGGACGGAGAAGGCUGGCGUUGGUCGGCGGGACGGUUGUCCUGGUUUAAGGUAGGCUGGUUUUCCGUGCAAAUCCGGGAAAAUCAAGGCUGAGUAAGUGAUGACGAGGGGCACUACGGUGCUGAAGCAACAAAUGCCCUGCUUCCGGUGAAAAGCCUCUCAAGCAUCAGGUAACAUCAAAUCAAAAAUUCCAAACCUAUCACAGGUGGUCAGGUAGAGAAUCACCAAGGCGCUUGAGAGAACUCGGGUGGCUGAACUAGGGCAAAUGGUGCCGUAACUCGGGAGAAGGUACCGCUGAUAUGUAGGCAGGAAGUCCCUCGCGGACGGAGUUUCUCGAAAAAUCAGGGUCGAAGAUACCAGCUGGCUGCAACUGUUUAUUAAAAACACAGCACCAGCAAACACUGAAAGUGGACGUAUACGGUGUGACGCCUGCCCGGUGCCGGAAGGUUAAUUGAUGGGGUUAGCGUGCGCGAAGCUCUUGAUCGAAGCCCCGGUAAACGGCGGCCGUAACCAUAACGUCCUGGCAGCAGCGGAAAUUCCUAUCGGGUGUUCCGACCUGCACGAAUGGCGUAAUGAUGGUCCGCCGUCUCCACCCGAGACUCAGUGGAAAUUGAACUCGCUGUGAAGAUGCAGUGUACCCGCGCGGCAAGACGGAAAGACCCCCGUGAACCUUUACUAUAGCCUUGACACUGAACAUUGAGCCUUGAUGUGUAGGAUAGGUGGGGAGGCUUUGAAGUGUGGACGCCGGGGCCCGCAUGGAGCCGACCCUUGAAAUACCACCCCUUUAAUGCUGUUUGAUGUUCUUAACGUGGACCCCGUAAUCCGGGUUGCGGACAGUGUCUGGUGGGUAGUUUGAUUGGGGCGGUCUCCUCUAAAGAGCAACGGAGGAGCACGAAGGUUGGCUUUCAACUCGGCCGGACAUCAGGAGGUUGGCGUACGGCAUAAGCCAGCUUGACUGCGAGCGUGACGGCGCGAGCAGGUGCGAAAGCAGGUCAUACAGUGAUCCGGUGGUUCUGAAUGGAAGGGCCAUCGCUCAACGGAUAAAAGGUACCCGGGGAUAAUAGGCUGAUACCGCCCAAGAGUUCAUAUUAUCGACGGCGGUGUUUGGCACCCUCGAUGUCGGCUCAUCACAUCCUGGGGCUGAAGUAGGUCCUGGGGUAGCGAAGCUGUUCGCCAUUUAAAGUGGGGUACGCGAGCUGGCUUAGAACGUCGUGAGACAGUUCGGUCCCUAUCUGCCGUAUGCUGGAGAAUUGAGGUAUGUUCCUGCAGUACGAGAGGACCGGAGUGGACGCAUCACUGGUGUUCCGCUGUCGCCAUGCCACCGGCACCGCCCGGUAGCCAAAUGCGGAAGAGAUAAGUGCUGAAAGCAUCUAAGCACGAAAUCCUUGCCCCGAGAUGAGUUCUCCUGACUCCUUGAGAGUCCUGAAGGAACGUUGAAGACGACGACGUUGAUAGGCCGGGUGUGUAAGCGCAGCGAUGCGUUGAGCUAACCGGUACUAAUGAACCGUGAGGCUUAACCUUACAACGCCGAAGGUGUUU